GUAACAGAGGAAAGGCUUGCCUUUUCUGCUGACGAGUGGCGGACGGGUGAGUAAAGUAUGGGGAUCUGCCGAAUGGAGGGGGACAACUGCUGGAAACGGCAGCUAAUACCGCAUAAAGUUGAGAGACCAAAGCGUGGGACUUUUUAGCCACGCGCCAUUUGAUGAACCCAUAUGGGAUUAGCUUGUUGGUAGGGUAAUGGCUUACCAAGGCGACGAUCUCUAGCUGGUCUGAGAGGAUGACCAGCCACACUGGAACUGAGACACGGUCCAGACUCCUAUGGGAGGCAGCAGUGGGGGAUAUUGCACAAUGGGGGAAACCCUGAUGCAGCCAUGCCGCGUGUAUGAAGAAGGCUUUCGGGUUGUAAAGUACUUUCGGUAAUGAGGAAGGUGUAUUAUCUAACAGGUAAUGCAAUUGACGUUAGUUACAGAAGAAGCACCGGCUAACUCCGUGCCAGCAGCCGCGGUAAUACGGAGGGUGCGAGCGUUAAUCGGAAUAACUGGGCGUAAAGGGCAUGCAGGCGGGUCAUUAAGUUAGGUGUGAAAUCCCCGGGCUCAACCUGGGAACUGCACUUAAAACUGGUGGUCUGGAGUAUUGUAGAGGAAGGUAGAAUUCCACGUGUAGCGGUGAAAUGCGUAGAGAUGUGGAGGAAUACCGGUGGCGAAGGCGGCCUUCUGGACAAAUACUGACGCUGAGAUGCGAAAGCGUGGGGAGCAAACAGGAUUAGAUACCCUGGUAGUCCACGCUGUAAACGAUGUCGAUUUGGAGUUUGGUGGCAUGACUGCUGGGCUUCGAAGCUAACGCGUUAAAUCGACCGCCUGGGGAGUACGGCCGCAAGGUUAAAACUCAAAUGAAUUGACGGGGGCCCGCACAAGCGGUGGAGCAUGUGGUUUAAUUCGAUGCAACGCGAAGAACCUUACCUGGUCUUGACAUCCACAGAAUUCUGUAGAGAUACGGGAGUGCCUUAGGGAGCUGUGAGACAGGUGCUGCAUGGCUGUCGUCAGCUCGUGUUGUGAAAUGUUGGGUUAAGUCCCGCAACGAGCGCU
rnacentral:rRNA from 1 species